GGGGGCGUAAAGGUUUCGACGGGGGUGUAGAAGCCGGGUAAGCGAGCCGGAGUCGGCCAGGUCUCCGUUAAAAAUGGCCCGUUUAAAAUAAACGCUAAAAGAAACAACAAUUUCGCAUUCGCAGCAUAAGCGCUGCCCGCGCGUCGGUCUCAGGUCACCUGCAGCCUGAACAACCGGCGUCGACCAUGCAGGAAAACCUUCUUAAAGUUCCCGGUAUAGGAAGGGACUCACGGGAUAGGAUCAUUGGCGUCGUGCCGGCGGGCCGCCUCUGUUCCGAAACUUAAACUACCGGCUGCGCUCGGAGAAGACCUUGUGGAAAUGCUUUCGGACGCGAGUUCGAUUCUCGCCGCUUCCACCA
rnacentral:tmRNA from 1 species